GUGGUGGAAUGAUGAAGUGGUGUUGGCUUGUGUUGAUAAUUUGAAACUUCUUCCCCACCACGGCGACCGUUAAGGCCUUCUCCUCGUUGUAGUUUGGCACUAGAAUGUUGUUCAUCUUCAUUGUCAUUUUCUUUAAUCUGUACACAAAAUUUAAAUGUGUUAUCAAUAAAUAAAUAAAACUAUGGAAUAAAAAUUAUACUGUAUUUGUAGAACUGUAGAAGUGAAGUGGUGGUGAUACUUACAGGAGAGAAGAGAGGAGAUUGAAAAGGUGGAGGAGGUGGAGAUGUGGAAGUUGAAGUUGAAGAAGAAGGAGCCAUGACCACGACUACUGAGAGCUUGGAAGAACUAGCUAGCACUUAUGAUGAUGAGGAUGAGUGGUAAUGUAGAGAGAGUGGGUUGGGG
rnacentral:lncRNA from 1 species